GAUUAAGAAGCAAAAUAAUGCAUUCAGUUUCGGCCUGAAAAAUUGGUAAAUAUACCCUUAUUCU
rnacentral:tRNA from 1 species